rnacentral:lncRNA from 1 species
UAGUUUAAUGACUAACCAGCGUUCAUUUAAUUUAUCCUUCAGUUACUCCAUCAAAGAAAAAAAAUGCCAAACUAAUGAAGUUUCUGUACGUUUUCGAGGUUGUUUACUAAAAGUGGGAGUUUGUACGGGUGAGUCUUCUGGGUCAUUAGGAGCAGGACUAGUAUGUGUAUCAUCUAAAUCUACCGGAGGUUGGGUUUCGUCAUCAUCAUCACCCUCAUUUCCCUCUGAUAUUGGUGCAUUAGGAUAAAGCAAAUUCAUAAUAUCAUCAUCUNNN